rnacentral:rRNA from 1 species
AACGAACGCUGGCGGCAGGCUUAACACAUGCAAGUCGAACGCCCCGCAAGGGGUGUGGCAGACGGGUGAGUAACGCGUGGGAACAUACCCUUUUCUACGGAAUAGCUCUGGGAAACUGGAAUUAAUACCGUAUACGCCCUACGGGGGAAAGAUUUAUCGGGGAAGGAUUGGCCCGCGUUGGAUUAGCUAGUUGGUGGGGUAAAGGCCUACCAAGGCGACGAUCCAUAGCUGGUCUGAGAGGAUGAUCAGCCACAUUGGGACUGAGACACGGCCCAAACUCCUACGGGAGGCAGCAGUGGGGAAUAUUGGCCAAUGGGCGCAAGCCUGAUGCAGCCAUGCCGCGUGAGUGAUGAAGGCCUUAGGGUUGUAAAGCUCUUUCACCGAUGAAGAUAAUGACGGUAGUCGGAGAAGAAGCCCCGGCUAACUUCGUG